rnacentral:rRNA from 1 species
UACGUAGGGAGCAAGCGUUGUCCGGAAUCAUUGGGCGUAAAGCGCGCGUAGGCGGCCUCAUAAGUCCGUUGUGAAAGUCAAAGGCUCAACCUUUGAAAGCCGAUGGAUACUGUGGGGCUAGAGUCCGGAAGAGGCGAGUGGAAUUCCUGGUGUAGCGGUGGAAUGCGCAGAUAUCAGGAGGAACACCGGUGGCGAAGGCGGUUCUCUGGGCCUUACCUGACGCUGAGGAGCGAAAGCGUGGGGAGCGAACAGG